rnacentral:lncRNA from 1 species
UUUAUUUGGAUUUUUGCAUUUCCUGUUGAGAAGUUCCACGCUGACAAAUGCUGUUUUGUCCAAAAAAUCCUCAGGACAAAUUGGCCAAGGGCAUUUUCCUUAAAUAACAAUCCUUUAUGUGGGGCCCAUGGUUUAUUUGCAAAAUCCAUGAAUGAAUUGUCAGUGUCUUUCUUAGUGACUGUUGGAUGACUGUUUUCCAAAGGCCCCACCCACCCUGGACACAGACCCCCAUGUCAGCCUCAGCUUCCCCGAGCAGCUGGCCUCACUCCCGGGCUGUCCCCAGGGAAGCCCCCAGAGAGGUGUGUUAUAUUUUCAAGAAAAGGCCCUCAGCUCCUGAACAUGUAACUUUUCUGAAUUCAAUGACAGUGACUCCUUUUGAUAAAGGGAAUUUCCGUUCGUUUGUUUUAAAAAAAAAUUUUUUUAACGGUCUCUAUUUUUAACACUCUCAGCUGAAGCCCCAAGGUUGGCUUCAUGAGGCCCAGGGUCCAGGACAUCUCCUUUCCCAUGAAACUGUUCUGCUGAAGCACCUGGGGGGUGGGGGGGCUUUGUAUUCAUUCAUUCAUCCCACAUUCACUCACUCAUUCAUCCCACAUUCACUCACUCAUUCAUUCAUCCCACAUUCACUCAUUCAUUCAUCCCAAAUCACACAUUCAUUCAUUCAUCCCACAUUCACUCACUCAUUCAUCCCACAUUCACCCACUCAUUCAUUCAUCUCACAUUCAGUCAUUCCUUCAACACACAUUCCCUCAUUCAUCACACAUUCAGUCACUCGUUCAUUCAGCCCACAUUCACUCACUCAUUAAUUCAUCCCACAUUCACUCACUCAUUCAUUCGUCCCACAUUCACUCACCCAUUCAUUUCAGUCACUCACUCAUUCAUUCAUCCCACAUUCACUCAACCAUUCAGCUCAGUCACUCACUCAUUCAUUCAUCCCACAUUCACUCACUCAUUCAUCCAAAAUUCACUCAUUCAUUCAUUCAUCCCACAUUCACGCACCCAUUCAUCCCACAUUCACCCACCCACUCAUCCAUUCAUCUCACAUUCACUCACUCAUCCAUCCCACAUUCACUCACUCACUCUUUCGGCCCACAUUCACUCACUCAUUCAUCCCACAUUCACUCAGCCCACAUUCACUUACUCACACAUUCAUCACACAUUCACUCACUCAUUCGUCCCACAUUCACUCAGCCCACAUUCUCUCACUCACACAUUCAUCACACAUUCACUAGCUCAUUCAUUCAUCCCAUAUUCACUCACUUUUCACUCAUCCCACAUUCAUUCACAGGCAUCCAUCCAUCCAUUCCACAUUCAUGUGUCCCUGACAGAUGUCAGGUGUCAGGUGGUGGGACCUGUUCCAGGAAUUGGAGACAGAGGGCAAGCCAUGCAGAAGGCAGGUAAACCAGACAGUGUUGGAGUGACCUGGGCUCUGGGAGAGAAUCAAACAGGGGACUUAUCAAACUGUGAGUGUUAGGGAGGCUUCUGAGGAGGUGACAUUUGUCAAACCUAUGACCUUGUG